rnacentral:tRNA from 1 species
UGGUAGUUAGUUUAACUAAAAUUAAUGAUUUCGACUCAUUAGAUUAUGAACAACUCAUAACUACCAA